rnacentral:rRNA from 1 species
GUAGGGAAUCUUCCGCAAUGGACGAAAGUCUGACGGAGCAACGCCGCGUGAGUGAUGAAGGUUUUCGGAUCGUAAAACUCUGUUGUCGGGGAAGAACAAGUAUGAUAGUAACUGAUCGUACCUUGACGGUACCCGACCAGAAAGCCACGGCUAACUACGUGCCAGCAGCCGCGGUAAUACGUAGGUGGCAAGCGUUGUCCGGAAUUAUUGGGCGUAAAGCGCUCGCAGGCGGUUCUUUAAGUCUGAUGUGAAAUCUUGCGGCUCAACCGUAAACGUGCAUUGGAAACUGGAGGACUUGAGUGCAGAAGAGGAGAGUGGAAUUCCACGUGUAGCGGUGAAAUGCGUAGAGAUGUGGAGGAACACCAGUGGCGAAGGCGACUCUCUGGUCUGUAACUGACGCUGAGGAGCGAAAGCGUGGGGAGCGAACAGGAUUAGAAACCCUAGUAGUCC